rnacentral:tRNA from 1 species
GGGGCAUUAGCUCAGCUGGGAGAGCGCUUGCAUGGCAUGCAAGAGGUCAGCGGUUCGAUCCCGCUAUGCUCCACCA